GAUCAAACGGAUUAUUAUCGAAAUGAUUUGAACUGUUUCAAAGACCCAACAUGCAUUUUUUUGCAUUGGGCUCUUUCAUAAAAUGAUUUAAAGAUCAGUUAG
rnacentral:rRNA from 1 species